UACGAAGGGGGCUAGCGUUGUUCGGAAUUACUGGGCGUAAAGGGCGCGUAGGCGGCCUUCUAAGUCGAACGUGAAAUCCCCGGGCUCAACCCGGGAACUGCGUCCGAUACUGGAAGGCUUGAAUCCGGGAGAGGGAUGCGGAAUUCCAGGUGUAGCGGUGAAAUGCGUAGAUAUCAGGAGGAACACCGGUGGCGAAGGCGGGUCUCUGGGCCGAUACUGACGCUGAGGAGCGAAAGCGUGGGGAGCGAACAGG
rnacentral:rRNA from 1 species